AAUGAACGCUGGCGGCAUGCCUUACACAUGCAAGUCGAACGGCAGCAUGACCUAGCUUGCUAGGUUGAUGGCGAGUGGCGAACGGGUGAGUAAUGCAUCGGAACGUGCCUUUUAGUGGGGGACAACGUAGCGAAAGUUACGCUAAUACCGCAUAUUCUCUGAGGAGGAAAGCAGGGGACCUUCGGGCCUUGCGCUAGAAGAGCGGCCGAUGUCGGAUUAGCUAGUUGGUGAGGUAAAGGCUCACCAAGGCAACGAUCCGUAGCGGGUCUGAGAGGAUGAUCCGCCACACUGGGACUGAGACAAGGCCCAGACUCCUACGGGAGGCAGCAGUGGGGAAUUUUGGACAAUGGGCGCAAGCCUGAUCCAGCCAUGCCGCGUGAGUGAAGAAGGCCUUCGGGUUGUAAAGCUCUUUCGGCUGGGAAGAAAUCGCACCCUCUAAUACAGGGUGUGGAUGACGGUACCAGCAGAAGAAGCACCGGCUAACUACGUG
rnacentral:rRNA from 1 species